AUCCUUUUCCAGUUCAUGAGCUAAUGACUGGGUUCUCAUGCGCUUCCGUGACAUGUGCCUCCUCUGCACCUUGUUACGCUAUGGGCACAUUACUCUUCUGAUG